AAUAGCUUGAUGGCUUUCAAAAAUAUGAACAAAAAGACAACUCGGAGCUUGUUUGGAUGAUUAAGCCCCAAAUUUCGUGGGAUUUGCGGGUUGAGCCAAUGCAACUAAAGAAAAUCUAUCCAAACUAGGUUUAUAUUUUGAGAUCUUUUAGGGUGGAUAAUCCAAACCCUAUAUAGAGAAAAACAAGGCGGCAAAGGCUCCUCCAAA
rnacentral:lncRNA from 1 species